ensembl:lncRNA
CACACACACACACACAUACACACGUUAAAUGACCAUUUUGGCUUUCCAUACUCGCUGCUCCGUCUCGCGCACAGUUCCGUGUCUGACAGCGAGACCAAGGAACUCGGAGAGUCUGAGCGCGAGACCGCAGCAGCUGCGAACAGCGGAAGUGAAGACGGUGAGAACUGAAGCCGAGACACGAGAGAAGAAGAGAAGAGCUGUGUGCAAAAAGCAAAAAAUGUGUAAUAAAGGUAUUGUCAAGAGUGGCUUUGAAAAACAUCAUUUAUUUCUGUUCAAAAGCCUGUCAGAUACCGGCGCUCCAAUCCUGACUUUAGAAAUAAAUCCUUUUGAUGCUGGGUGUUAUACAUACAUACAUACAUACAUACACACACAUAUAUAUAUAUAUAUGGUUAUUUUAUCUGCGCGUUUUAUUCUAUCACAAGUUUAUACGCUUACAGCACAACCGCUACUAACCUAAAUUAAUCUCAUCAUACAUCAAUUAAUGCUGAUAUCAGAUUUGAUGGCAGUCUGUUUGGAGUGAGAUGUUUAGAGAGAGGUGUUUGGAGUGAGAUGAGAUGUUUGGAGUGAGAUGUGUGAUGUUUAGAGUGAGAUGUUUAGAGUGAGGUGUUUGGAGAUGAGCUCCUACCUCUGUUCUUCCCCGUGGUGUGAUGGGGUCGGGCGUGUGAACGCUGGCUGUAGUCAAAAAAUCCAUUGAGAAUUAUUAUUCAGCAGACAUGGAGCUCCGAGAUUUAAAACAAAACUAAAAUCCUCGGUUUGUGAUACUUUAAAAAGAGGAAACUCCAGAGAGUCUUCCACACUGUCGAUCACACUCAGCACUGAUUUUCCGGUCCGUAAGGAAUUUUACUAUUUAAUAUCGUGUAAAAAAAACUCGGUACUAGGUAAAGGUUAGACAGAAGACCGCAGAGAGAGAGUUGAACCUGGCAUGAACAUUCUCCAUGACUAUCUCGGUUGAAAUAAAUCGUGUAGUUGUCCGUGAUUGUUUAAAUCCGAGAGGUCGGUUCCUCCGAGUCUCGAGUUUUCAAAGCAGUAGUUCUUGGAAACAUCGUUCCGGUGUACCGAGAAAAAACGCCGCCGUCAAAUACUGCUGCGAGAUUCUCGCAGGUCUCACGUGAAACCUGUCACUGCUGAGAAAUGACGCUGCAAAAUAUUAAACUGUGUUUUAAACUGUGUUUUAAUGUGUACACAUCUGGUUAUGUCGCUGUUUCUGC